UACGGGGGGGGGCAAGCGUUGUUCGGAAUUACUGGGCGUAAAGGGCUCGUAGGCGGCCAACUAAGUCAGACGUGAAAUCCCUCAGCUUAACUGGGGAACUGCGUCUGAUACUGGAUGGCUUGGAUUUGGGAGAGGGAUGCGGAAUUCCAGGUGUAGCGGUGAAAUGCGCAGAUAUCGGGAAGAACACCCGUGGCGAAGGCGGUUCUCUGGGACGGUACUGACGCUGAGACGCGAAAGCGUGGGGAGCGAACAGG
rnacentral:rRNA from 1 species